rnacentral:lncRNA from 1 species
AAAAAAAAAUAACAUGUGGACUAAACUUUAAUAACAUAAAGCCUAAAUAUAUAAAUUUGGGGUGUGCUAGUUUUAAAUAAUUAAUAUUUUGAACUAAAAUUAAGCCACAAAGUAAGAUUUCUUCAAAAUCUGGGGUAGGCUGUAGCACAUCAUAGCAUGUGUGUAGGUACGCCUUUGCAUAUAAAUAUGUACAAUAGACAAAUAGAAGUGAAAUUCACACUCCCUAAAUUGUAAUCCACACUCCCAUUUUAUAUUGGGAAAAUGCCCCUUUACUACUAAUUUAUCAUUCCUUUAGCCCAUUUGAAUGAAUCUAAUAUUAGAUAGCCCAUUCCAAUACAUGGUACUUUUUUUUUUGCCCAAAUCAUCAAAUCUUAUGUGUCUGACCCACAUAUCUAUUAUUUUCAAGACCAAAAUGCCCUCGUAGCUUAAAUUAUAACAUAUUCUCUGCAGAUUUCAAAUUUCUGUUUUGAAGAGAGAGAAAGCUACAUAGCGAGAGAGAAAGAGAGGUCGAUCGAGCGAGCGACAGCGCGAUUGUCGUCGACGUUUUCCGAAGAAUAUCCGGCGAGAUCGAUCAGAAUCGCUUAGUUGAUGGAGCGAGAUCGAUCUUUAGUUUGCUCGUCGCUUCCUUCUCGGUUUGUUUCUCCUUUCUUCUUCUUUCGUUCUGUUUGUUUUGAAUUUAGUUUAUUUUCGUUUUUUCCCAGUUUUGAUUAUUGGGUGUCAGUAAGUGGUUAUCCUUACAUCAGUUGUAAGCUCUCCUUCCUCUAUUAUUGUCAUCAAGUCCUCCUUUGUUAUCUGAACUAUUAAAUAAGGAUCUUGCCAAUAUACAUAGUUGUUCAAUCCAAAACAAUUGAAAUAAGAAAUAAGAAAUAAGAAAUAAGAUACUCAAAUCUUUAUAAAGAAGGGAAGAAGUAAAAACAACAUAUAUACUUACUCUUUGUUUUCAUCUUGAUUUGUUUUGAACCAGCUCUCAUAGUGCAUUGUCACGUCCUUCUCUAGAGUUGUCCAUGUCGGCUUUGUGCAUUGGACUUUGUCAAUAACUAUGUUGUGAUUUUUGGACAUGUUCCUUCGGGCUAGUUGGUUCUUCUUGGGCUUAAGGUCUUCAGGUGUGCCAUACUCCCAUUCUUCUUGUUGCUUUUUUGUUGCAUCCCUUUUGUUAACCUUCACAUUUCUCUCUAUUGAAAGGGGCUGAACAGCUUUCUUCUUUGCUCGUGCUUCUUCUUUCUCAACAACAGCAACAAAAUCAUCCAUGGAAGAGUUAAUUUCUUCUUCAGUCUGUUCAAUGUAUGUCACAUCCCGACCCUUAUAUUUUUACCUUAUUUACUAGCUUGAUUAUAAUAAGAAUUUUACCGUCUCUGUCAUUGAGUUAAUAGUUUAAUUGGUCCCUAGAGGGGUUUCGGGGACGAUUGUGUGCGGAGGAUUAUUUGUAGGAGAAAAAUUCGACGACGGUAAAAUUGGUAAAUUUUAGCUAGUAAAAGGUAAUUUUUAUUCGGGUAUUAUUUUUUCGGGGUGUUUUAUUUUUGGAUUUGGGUUGUAUAAGAGUGUGGACCGGGCCAAAGGGUGGCAAAAAGCCCAGCCCUCUCUUUUUUCUCUCUUCUUCUUCUCUUUUCUCUUCCCCGGUUUUUCCCUCUCCCGACUUCUCCCGUUUCCGGUUCUUCUCCAGCCCCAGCUGCCGCCGUUCGGCCAGCCGCCGGCCGCCGCUCCACCCCAGUUCGGACCCCCAUCUCCUCCUCUCCCUCCCCGGCCUAGCCCCCGAGCCUCUAACCCGCUGGAAGAGGAGAAAACCCGCCGGAAACUCCGGGAAGCAUUUCGCCGGAACUCCCUCCUCCGGCCACCAAUCCGGGCAAGCUUGGUACGGUUUUGUAGCCCUCCAACCCAGCAGCCUUGCCCUAAAAGGACUCACCCUCUCUUGAGCUAGGUAAGGAGAAAUGUGGAGUUGAAAUUUCUAGGGCUUGUAGGUGUUUGUGUUCGAUUGCCCUAGUUAGGCUUGGAUUUUGGGUUUGUGCUGGUCAGGAAAGUUGUAGAGCUUGAUGAGGAGAUUAUUCUGUCAAAAUUUCAUAGGUUUUGGAGGUCGCCAGAAUUGGCCUCCGGCCGCCGCUGCCGGCGGAGCUGGCGCCGGCGCCGGUUGGGAGAUUUUUAUGUUUUUAAAUGUGAAAUAUUAAGGGGAGUUCAUUGAAGUGAGUUUUGGAAUUUUUGGAUGAGUUUUGGAUAGGUUUAUGAUUUUCCGAAGUUUGGUAUUUUUGGCGGUUAAUUAAUGUAGAAUCCGACCGUAGUAUUUAAGUCGUAUUCUGUGGGAAGUUGUUGUUACGGCUGCCGGUAUGUUCGGCGAAGUUUGAGCCGUAUUGAGUUAAGAAUGGCGAAUUUGGGCAAUGAUGAGUGUGUGGGAGGCUCACAUUUAAUUUUGCCUAUUUUGUUUAAAUAUUGGAUUUUAGUUGGGAAUUUAAUUAUAUAUUUGUGCCAGGGUUCGAGGAACCUCAUUGGAGUGGCGAUUUGGAUUUCGUCGGGCUUAUGCCUAGAGUUGUGAGUGGACCUUUAUUUUAAUUGAAAAGCAUGCGAUGAAUUAUCUGUUGAUCAUUUAUUUCUUUUCCUGAGAUUUAUUUAUUUCUCGGAUAUUUGGCAAUUUUCCUCCUUUGGAGAGAUCCCGAAAAUGAGAUUUUCGGUGGAUAUAUUUAUUGGAUGUUUAUGAUGAUAGUAUGUAUAUAUAAAUGCUAGCUAGCCAUACGUGCUAAUCCGCCAUAAUGAGGUAAAAUACCAUUAUGGUGUGACGUGAGUGUUAGACACAAGCGUAGUAGCCCUAUAUGAAAACUAUUUUCUUAUUUGGUUUAUUUAGGUUUUCAUAUAGGGAGUCCACACGUAUAUACACUCGUGCUUUUUCCGCCAUACUGAGGUACAAUUCCAUUAUGGUGUGACGUGAGCGUUAGACGCAAGCGUAGUAGCCUUGUAUGAAUUUCUAUUUUUCUAAUUUGUUCUUAGAAUUCAUACAAGGAGUUUGACGAGUGUAAAUACAUACACUUAUAUAUGUUUAUAUAUAAUUUAGCCUGAGAGGCUGUAUUUUAUUAAGUUUUGGAGACUAGCCAGUGUUGGUCGUGAAGUUGCCAGUUUUUGAGUUAAGCGCUUUUGAGCGAUUGCAUGCAGUAUUAUUUUAUUUGGAAAUUAAAUUGGGGAAACAUAAAUAUUUUUAUUAAUUUAUUUUUGUCCACUCACUCUAACGUUGUUAAGUGUUUUCCCCUAGGCCUUUCAUUUUAAAAAUGCCCAGCUUGUAGGUUAGCUUAGUCGAGAUCGGGUGUACAUGGAGAUGAGGCAUAGUCAUCCUAUAGCUUCCGCUUGUUAAUUUAUUUUUGUUUCAUUUCUUCCUGUUAGAAUUGCUCUGAGCCUAUAAAUGGUUGGAUGUGAGAUUUGUUUAGAUUAGUAAAUUUUUGGGUGGUGUUGUGAUUUGGGGAGCACGAAGGCUCCAGGAGUAGAGGAUUAUAAAUGGAUUCUUUUGAAGUGCAUGCAGGUAUUAUUAGGAAGGGUUGUCCAUUUUCAAGGGAGGUUAUGCUGAUUUUUCGGUAAAUUUCCCUUGGAGGUGGUCCCCGCACGCCUUACUCCGGGUUUCAGGGUGAAAUUCGGGGUGGGUCGUGUCAAUGUAGACCCGCGGCUUCUUUUUAUAUGUCUUCAGACUUUCAUUUUCCUUCUCCUUCACUAUGUCCAUGACCACUGUCUGAAUUAUUUCUUGACACAUAGUCGAAUCUUCUCGUUCUUCACCAUAUCUCAUCACAAUCGUUUGGAUUGGUAUUGCAGGUGUUGCUCCACAGGACUGCACAUAUGAAAACAAAAAAAUGUAAUUACUAUGGGUUAGUUAUUGAAUUACUAUGGGUCAGUUAUUAGGUUCUUACAUCUUCAGGUGUUGAAGUCUGACGAGCUCGAGAAUGUGCAUCAAUUGUAUUUGGUUCAUUUUCCUCAAGGUGUUCUUUUGGUGCUGCUACUACCAUUUGCAUCUUCAAGGGAAUAUUUUUCUUCUUGGUCUUUUUGGCCUUCGCUUUUUUAAAGACUCUCGAAGCUCCUUGUUUUCCUUCUGUAGCCGCUCUAUGUGGCUGUCAACAGCUUUCACCUUAUUCAACAGUUGUGAAUUCUUCUCAAGGAGCUCUUCAUUUGCUUUUGUAACUUUUUCCAGCUUUUGCUUCAAGGUUUUCUCCAGUUGCUUCCCCUCCAAAUCCCUCAUUAGAGCUCUCAGAUUCCCAGACAUUAAUAUCAUCUGUUCUUCUUCUUGCUGGCUUGAUUGAGGCACCUGCAAUCAUAAUAACAAAU